ACAUUUUUCGGCAAUGGCGAUAACACUGUUACAUUGGGCAUGCCGUGGAUAAUCAUACUCGACACUCGCUAUGUGACUCAGAAAACUAUGUCAUGUCACAUGCCCAGACUAUAAACGCACUAAGGCAAUGCUGCAUGAAUAGCACGUGGAUACCUGCCAAACAGCUGGAGAGUUGUCACCGCGUCGUCUUCAGGCUGGCAAUUAGUCGAGUUGCAACAGAAGCACACCUUUACGAGGAGAAAGGAGGAGGAAUUAUUAGAUCACCACAAUUACCAUUGACAUCAAGAGCAACACAAACUGAAACAGAUCUUCAGAUUUCUUUUAACAUCUGGUGUUCAAGCAAUACAUUGCCAAUGAA